rnacentral:rRNA from 1 species
UAUGAACGCUGACAGAAUGCUUAACACAUGCAAGUCGACUCGAGUCUUCGGACUUGGGUGGCGCACGGGUGAGUAGCGCGUAAAGAACUUGCCUCUUAGACCGGGACAACAUCUGGAAACGGAUGCUAAUACCGGAUAUUAUGGUUUUUUCGCAUGGGGAAGUCAUGAAAGCUAGAUGCGCUAAGAGAGAGCUUUGCGUCCCAUUAGCUCGUUGGUGAGGUAACGGCCCACCAAGGCAAUGAUGGGUAGCCGGCCUGAGAGGGUGAACGGCCACAAGGGGACUGAGACACGGCCCAG